rnacentral:rRNA from 1 species
ACAGCUGUCUCUUUACAGUUUAAUAGAAUUUUAUCUUUGGGUGAAGAAGCCCAAAUUUAAUUGAAAGACAAGAAGACCCUAUCGAGCUUUAAAGAAAUUAAUGAAUUUAAAAUAAAUAUUAAAUAAAAUAUUAAUCAUUAAAAAUUUUAGUUGGGGCGACUAGGGAACAAAAAAAGCUUCCUUUAUAAUAAAUAUUAGAUUUAUCCAUAAUGAUCCAGAAUUUUAUUUUGAUUAAAAAAAUUAGUUACCGUAGGGAUAACAGCAUUAUCUUUUUUGAGAGUUCUUAUCGAAAAAAAGGUUUGUGACCUCGAUG